CCUGCAGGACAGACAGAAAGAGAGCAGUGAUGUUUAAUUUACCAAUUGUAGUAGUUUCAUUUCAUACGGAGCUCGGGGUUAAUAAGUAGCUAGUGUAUCUAUCUAGCGGCUGCUCCGUCACUAACUGCUCCAGUGAGGACUGUCAGUAAAGUCAGCCGAACCUCUUCUGAACCAGACGGUGAUACAACCUCCUCUACUGCCGUCCUCUGUGAGUGACUCUAUGAGCAGGAUACACACUUUUACUUUCUCUGACUGUGUGGAGAUCAGAUGUUUUCACAUCACUGAUGAUGAAGAAAAAGCAUUAAAACAUGAGACUCAUGUCUUUCCACCACAGGAACUGCUGAUACAGGAGUUUAAUGCGGCACUGAUCUGGAAAAAAGAGGAACAAAUAGUCUAACCUGAUUGAGAGCUGAUGGUAGCAGAAAAUAAAACACACCUGUGAGGAUGUCACUGAGUUUGUGCGCGUCGUCUUUGUGUCCGCUGAAGAAGUCGGCGAGGCCCACUAUCACCAGGCCCAGAAUGGUGAUGAGGAUGCCGAUCCACUGACUGGG